rnacentral:tRNA from 1 species
GAAAUAUCAUAAGUUAAGCUUCUAACUUAAUAAAAAGCGAUUAACCUCGUUUAUAUUUCU